AAGGAAAUGAGUUCAUCAUACAUGCAUAUUAACUACAGCAGUGUCAUCCAUUGUUCUGACACCUGCUUGCCACAGGAGGAACAUGAGGUGUAAAUAAAGGGAUGAAUUAAGGAGUACCACUUCUUUGUUCCUGCUCUCUCACCUGAGAAGAUAGCACUGGAUGUUCCCAGCAGCCUCGCAAAAUUCAUGGGUUUACAGAAACCUCUGCACUACCGCAUGUUUUUAUAUGGAAUAGGAGGGAACACAGACGAUGGGAGAAUAGAAGGCUGCUGGUCUGCAAGGAGCAAUGUUUAGAGGAUGUGUCCUGGGCCACAACCGAAAUGCAUGGCCGUAGUUAGCUGAGGUUCUGCUAGCGAGCCUGGGAAUGGCUGUGGUGCCCUCUGUGCUGUUUUGGAUGACAGAAGAUUUAUGCCUGGGCCACUUGCAGAGAGCUGCCUAAAGCACUGCAGGUCCAGGCAGAAAGCUACACCUUCAAGGAGCACUGCUUGCCAUUACCACAGCUAGCUGUGUCCUUAAACUGCAACCCAAAGCAUUUUGAGAGCCUGGCAUCCUUCUCCGAGGUCUCCAGAGCUAUAGCUGUGAUGGCAAGAGCCGUUGCUUGGUGGUACCAAGCUGAUGAAGAGCUCCCAGUUGUUAUGCUGCUGUACAGAUACACCAGAAGUUGCCUGUGAACAUGGGUGACUGUCUCCGUGAGCCCAGCGAGAAACCCGGUGAGUUUUUUACCUGCACGAGAUUUACCCUUAUCUGCUCCCGCUCUGUGUUCGAGGACGCGUUUGUGCAGCGAGAAGAGAAAGCUGCGCAGCAUGACGUGUGUCCUCCAGCCGUGCCGUGAGGCCAGCAGACACCUCCAGGGACCGGGGACAG